CAGCCGCCACGGGAAUACGAAGGGGGCUAGCGUUGCUCGGAAUUACUGGGCGUAAAGGGAGCGUAGGCGGAUCGUUUAGUCAGGGGUGAAAUCCCGGGGCUCAACCUCGGAACUGCCUUUGAUACUGGCGAUCUUGAGUAUGGGAGAGGUGUGUGGAACUCCGAGUGUAGAGGUGAAAUUCGUAGAUAUUCGGAAGAACACCAGUGGCGAAGGCGACACACUGGCCCAUUACUGACGCUGAGGCUCGAAAGCGUGGGGAGCAAACAGGAUUAGAUACCCGAGUAGUCCCUGUCUCUUAUAC
rnacentral:rRNA from 1 species